rnacentral:lncRNA from 1 species
UUUAGUUUUCUUAGAGGAGGAAGCAAAGUUCCGAAAGAGAAGAGAGAAGAGAGGAGGUGUGAAUGCACUAGGCAAGGACAGUCUGAGUGCCUGACUCACCGGAAGUUUCCUAACAUGCAAUUAAAGUGAAACCAGAGUGCGGAUACUGCAGCGGCAACACUGAAUGGGGGAGUAGGAGAGAUGUGGAUUUCCUUAGGCACGUGGUCUUUCCAAACCAUGGAUUGAGAGAGGCAGAGAAGGCUGUGAGCAAGCCCAGCGCUGGACGACUACUUCCUCUGGAGGUGACCUGUUCUUUCUGCCUGGAACCUGUGAGAUUUUCUCAUCAUCCUUGAGGUUCAGGAAUUUCACCAGGUGAAAGAUUCUAGGUAUACUUUUUGUUGAGGAAGAUUGGCCCUGAGCUAACAUCUGUUGCCAAUCUUCUUCUUUUUUUU